rnacentral:rRNA from 1 species
AUACGUAGGUGACAAGCGUUAUCCGGAUUUACUGGGCGUAAAGGGCGUGUAGGCGGUCUUGCAAGUCAGAAGUGAAAUUCCUGAGCUCAACUCGGGCGCUGCUUCUGAAACUGCAGGACUUGAGUGCUGGAGGGGAUAGCGGAAUUCCUAGUGGAGCGGUAAAAUGCGCAGAGAUUAGGAAGAACACCGGUGGCGAAGGCGGCUAUCUGGACAGUAACUGACGCUGAGGCGCGAAAGCGUGGGGAGCAAACAGGAUUAGAUCCCCUGGUAGUCCACGCCGUAAACGAUGAAUACUAGGUGUAGGGGGUAUCGACUCCCUCUGUGCCGCAGUUAACACAAUAAGUAUUCCGCCUGGGGAGUACGGCCGCAAGGUUGAAACUCAAAUGAAUUGACGGGG